rnacentral:rRNA from 1 species
CCUACGGGAGGCAGCAGUGGGGAAUAUUGCACAAUGGGGGAAAGCCUGAUGCAGCGACGCCGCGUGAGUGAAGAAGGAUUUCGGGAUGUAAAGCUCUAUCAGCAGGGAAGAAAAAAGACGGUACCAGACUAAGAAGCCCCGGCGAACUACGUGACAGCAGCCGCGGUAAUAUGUAGGGGGCAAGCGUUAUCCGGAUUUACUGGGUGUAAAGGGAUCGUAGACGGUGUGGCAAGUCUGAAGUGAAAGCCCAGGGCUUAACCCUGGAACUGCUUUGGAGACUGUUAGACUAGAGUGCUGGAGAGGUAAGUGGAAUUCCUGGUGUAGCGGUGAAAUGCGUAGAUAUUAGGAGGAACACCAGUGGCGAAGGCGGCUUACUGGACAGUAACUGACGUUGAGGCUCGAAAGCGUGGGGAGCAAACAGGAUUAGAUACCCGAGUAGUC